UCCCUUAGACACUCUAGGCGGCACGCGCGCUACAAUGGGUGGAAGAACGUGUUACUGCCUCCGAAAGGAGGGGUGAAUCACGAAUUCUUGCCCGUGAAUGGGAUAGUUUGUUGCAAUUUUCGGACUUGAACUAGGAAUCCCUUGUAAACAUGCUCAAGAAUAGCGUGUUGAAUACGUCCCUGCCGUUUGUACACACCGCCCGUCGUUUCUUCCGACUGAUACUCAUUGUGAGUUGCAAGGACCCUUUAUUGGGAAAUUGCUGCAAAUGCUUUGUAUUGGAGGAAGAAAAAGUCGUAACA
rnacentral:rRNA from 1 species